rnacentral:rRNA from 1 species
UGUGGAGUACGGGCCGGCAGGGGCGGGAAUACGAAGGGGGGGAGAGUUGGUCGGAAGUGCUGAGCGUAAAGCGCACGUAGGCGGCUUGUUAAGACAGGGGUGAAAUACUGGAUCUCAACUCCAGAGCGGCCUGGGGUACUGGGGAGCUUGAGUUCGGGAGAGGUGAGUGGAACUGCGAGUGUAGAGGUGAAAUUCGUAGAUAUUCGCAAGAACACCAGUGGCGAAGGCGGCUCACUGGCCCGAUACUGACGCUGAGGUGCGAAAGCGUGGGGAGCAAACAGGAUUAGAUACCCGAGUAGUC